rnacentral:rRNA from 1 species
UACGUAGGGAGCAAGCGUUGUCCGGAAUCAUUGGGCGUAAAGCGCUCGUAGGCGGCCCUGUAAGUCCGUUGUGAAAGUCAAAGGCUCAACCUUUGAAAGCCGAUGGAUACUGCAGGGCUAGAGUCCGGAAGAGGCGAGUGGAAUUCCUGGUGUAGCGGUGGAAUGCGCAGAUAUCAGGAGGAACACCAAUAGCGAAGGCAGCUCGCUGGGACGGUACUGACGCUAAGGCGCGAAAGCGUGGGGAGCGAACAGG